GCCAGCCGUCUCCUUAUCCCUGCGAUGCCGCUCACCUGGGCUCAUCUUCCAGCCGCCCUCCGCCCAGCAGCAGAGCACACCAUCCUCUCAACUCGGAUCCCCAAGCCCUCGCCUCCAGCUCUUGCCACGGCAUCCAUCCCCUGUUCGGACCUCCACCCGGCCGCGUCCUCGCCGGUGGCCAGCGCCGCUGCAUCGCCCUUCCUAGCGUCGGCCUUGGCACCGCUUCCCCGAGCGCCCCAGUCGAGCUCGCCCAUCCUCUGCUCUAGCCCUUUCUCCACGCCGUCGCUGAGCUCGCCCCUCCCCUCAGCCAUGGACACGACGACCUGCAGCCCUUCUUGGUGGCCAAGCCCAUCUUCCUGCUCGCGCCCCCUCUUUUUCCACCUCUGCGCGUAUCAGCUCGUCCAACCCCCAUGGUGUUUCCUCCCUCUCGGCUCCCUUGCUCCCUCCCCAUGGCGUUCCCCCUGGAUGUUGGUGAUCUGUUCCCCACGGUGCAGGCAAAUGUUCUUUCCCUCCCUGCAGCAGCACCUUGGUGGUUGUCGAGCAGCACGUCGCGCUUGCGCAGCCUCGGUCACGACGUUGUUCACCCCGGUGUCAUGUGUUCGCCGAAAUGCCUAAACAUGUAGUCUGUCGUCGUCGUAUCCACAGUCAAUUUUAGUCAUGGGGAACUUGGUACAGCCAUCCAUGGUAUCAGAAUAUGACCUGGGAGGAGAAGGGGACCUGUUCAAAGCUCCAGAAGCCAUCAUCGAGGAACCGCUGCUCCUGAACUGUCUGUCUGAUUCUGUUCAUUUGUUGCUGUGUAGGCUGGGCUUGUGCCAAGCUUGAAUCCUCUUGUGAAGGAGUUUCUCAAUGCUGCUGAUGACAAGCGGAAGGAAGUCCUCUCUAAAAUAGAAGAGGAUGUUGCUAAGCUCAGCGGUUCUGCAGCCAACUAAGAAGCUACAAGUGAAUGCCGAGGAGAGCAGCGAUGACUUGGCUAACCCACCGAAGGUAGAGGAGAAGCUUGGUGCUGUCCCUCAUGGCCUGUCCACCGACUCUGAGGUUGCCCAGAGGGAAGCCGAGUCUAUCUCUAGGAAGACUCUCAGGAGCUCAGCCGAGAAGUUUGAGUUCCAAGCUGAGGUUUCCAGACUCAUGGACAUCAUCAUCAACUCACUCUACAGCAACAAGGAUAUCUUCCUGAGGGAGCUCAUAUCUAAUGCCUCUGAUGCUGGAUAAGAUUAGGUUCCUUUCCCUUACUGAUAAGGAAGUUCUGGGUGAAGGGGACACUGCAAAGCUUGAGAUUCAGAUUAAGUUGGACAAAGAGAAGAAAAUCCUCUCCAUUCGGGAUAGGGGUAUUGGUAUGACAAAGGAAGAUCUUAUUAAGAACCUUGGAACGAUUGCUAAAUCUGGCACUUCAGGUACUGCCUUUUCAUCUUUCCAGCUGAUUACUGCACUCAUAAUAUUUGUUUAUGAGUGCAGGAACAGGAGCUGCUCGAGUCUCUUGUCGAAGCUGAUACGAGAAGGCAGGAAAGAGCUAAGAAGAUGGAAGAAAAGAAAGUGUAUCUGCAACUAUACGAAGCAAUGGAGGCGUUGGUCAAGAUCAAUCUGGAGACCAACAAGAUCAUGGACUUCAUCAAGUUUGACGUCGGCAACGUGGUCAUGGUGACUGGCGGGAGGAACACCGGGCGUGUAGGAGUCAUCAAGAACAGGGAGAAGCACAAGGGCAGCUUUGAGACCAUUCACGUGCUGCUUGGAGCUUUUUGCUAUGUCUAGUUUUCUCCUAUUUGUUGUACAGGAAAACAUAGAAUAGAAUUCAAAUUUGGUGGU